rnacentral:rRNA from 1 species
UACGAAGGGAGCUAGCGUUGUUCGGAAUCACUGGGCGUAAAGCGCACGUAGGCGGAUGUGUCAGUCAGGGGUGAAAUCCCGGAGCUCAACUUCGGAACUGCCUUUGAUACAGCACGUCUUGAGUCCGAUAGAGGUGGGUGGAAUUCCUAGUGAUAGAGGUGAAAUUCGUAGAUAUUAGGAAGAACACCGGGUGGACGAAGGGCGGCUCACUGGCCCGGUACCUGA